GAGGAUAUAGCUCAGUGGUAGAGGGCGUGCUCAGCAUGCAAGAGGUCCUGGGUUCAAUCCCCAGUGCCUCCA
rnacentral:tRNA from 1 species